rnacentral:rRNA from 1 species
UACAGAGGGUGCGAGCGUUAAUCGGAAUUACUGGGCGUAAAGCGCGCGUAGGCGGCUUUUCAAGUCGGAUGUGAAAUCCCCGGGCUUAACCUGGGAACUGCAUUCGAGACUGUCUAGCUAGAGUAUGGGAGAGGGAAGUGGAAUUUCAGGUGUAGCGGUGAAAUGCGUAGGUAUCAAGAGGAACACCUGAGGUGAAGACGGGUUGCUGGGCCAACACUGACGCUGAUGCGCGAAAGCCAGGGGAGCAAACGGG